rnacentral:lncRNA from 1 species
AUGCUGCUUCCUCCCUCUCACAACCUGGUUCCCUGCCAGCUUCUCUGGUGUGGCUUCAGGCCUGUGUGGUUCAACUCCACCAAGUUUUGGAUGGUCCAAAAGUUCCAGUUCUGUCUUGAGAUGCUUCAUCCCAAAGCCUCUGAUGCUGUAGUACUGACCAAGCUCUCAUCCCCCCGUAAAGACUUCCUGAUUAUCACUGUGCUUGUGACGGAUGGAGAAAUAGGCAAAGCAAAUUUGCCCUUAGUGCAUUGGAAGCCUCAGUCCAGACAGAACAUGAAAGGAAGAGACUGCUGUCUAGGUCUUGAGCUGAAGAGAGAGGCUAGUGCUUCUCUCUGGUGCUGGGGCAGAAGUGCCCUCCUCUGUGAGAGGUAUACUCUAGACAAGGCCUGGAGCUGCUAACUGAAGGAACGAAAAGUAAUGAGCACACUGCACACCAUCAGGGUGAAUGAAGAGGAGAUUGCUGUGGUCUUUGUGGAAAGUCUGCAGAGAGAAGAUUUUGAGUGACCUGAAGCAAGGACAUCUGGAAUUCACAGUCAGAAUGGAGAAAGCUGGAGGCUUGUGACUUCUGGCACCAAUAGGAAGGCUCCUGCUCAACCUGCAGACCUGCAGCUCCAGAAUAAGUAUAGUGCCCAGGCACUGGUGAGAACAAACUAGGACUUUCAGCGGAGGCAUCCAGAGUCAGCUGAGCCUGACUCUAGUGUCCAAACAGAAAGAAAAGGCAUGUGAAUUACUGGAAACUCUCUCAUUACGAUAAAGGCAUUGAUACACUAGAAUGAAUCUAGAGGAAGGCCACUAAAAUGAGGGGGCUGAACUACAUGGCAUGCAAAAAGAAGUUGAAGGAGCUCGUUUUGUUAUUAAGGAUACCUUAUUUUUGUCUACAAUUACCUGACUGGAGGAAGAUCCAAAGAAUACAGAGACUUGGAGGUACAUGGCCUUAGGAUAAGAGGCAAUUGAUACAAGUUGGAACAAGGGAAAUAUUGAAUGGGUAUAAGGAAGUUUUUGUUUUGUUUUGUUUUGUUUUAAAUCAUAAUAACCAAGAACUGUUGGAAUCCUCAACCUUGGAGAUGUUCAUGAUAAGUUCCUGGGUAAACUGAUCGAAAUGAAAACUUCCUUGAAUUAUGGCAUUGGACUAGAUGACCUCCAGAGAUUCCUGCCAACCUAAAUUACAUUGUAUACAUUUAGGCUAGCUUUACAUGAUCCCUAGUUCUGCCCCCAACUUCUUUGUU